UUGACAUAAUAAUUUUGACGCCUAUUGAAUUUGCUUUUGUGAAAAAAUGUUGUGUAUACGCAAACAAAAGUUCUGUAAAUUAAUUUAAUUUAGUAAUUGAAUUUUAUGUGAUUUCUUGUGUGAUGAUCAUAACAUUUCAAUGGCUGAGGUGUAUCACACGGCUUAAAUUGACAUAGUACGUCAUCUCAUAUUCCUUUGAAAUUAAAAUUAUCGAGUUUUUCCGUUUUUCGUCGUGUUGUUUUUUUCAUCUUCAUGUUAAUCGCAUCGUAAUUUUUGUAGACCCGAAAUUGGGAAAGAUGGGAAACAUUCUGCAGACAAGUAACGACGACAUUCGUAAAAAGUAUGAAUGUGAAGUAUAUGUUAAUAACUACGAGGCAUUGGUCAUAAUGGCUGAAGAUUUAACACAGCUAAGGAGGCUGUUAAGCAGGUUUGACUGUUUCAAACAAGAUGAGGACAUGCCAUUCAUUCUAGAUUCGAAACGACGCAAAGUUCUUGAUAACACAACAUUUGUGAGCUUGGAGAACCGAAUAUUUUAUGCGAUUUCCUCGAAACCACCUGCCGAUGGAACUGCAUUGGAGCACCAACAUGUCACAGAUUUUUACAAGCAGUUCGAAACUCGCAGUAAAGCUGAAAAUACGAGUUCCUUUUUAAAGUUUGCAUCUAGAACGCUUCCUGCUUGUUGAUCUCCGUAGUUCAUUUGCCGUGAUUAAUACUCUAAAUGACCUUUUGAAAGUUGUGUUUCCCGAUCAUUCAAGACUAGUAACUGCUUCCUGAUUAGCUUCCUGUAUUACCUCUACCGGCAAAAAUUAUAAAUCGCAUUUUUAAACGGAGUACAUUUUAUGGAUUUGUCAGUUUUUUGUGUUUUGUUAGUUCUAUUUCAGUUUUUGUUGUGAUAGCCGCUUUUAUUAACGCUAAAACUGAUAUAUUCAAUUUGCCAUUAAAGCAAUGCAACGAAACAAUAUACAUAAACAACACUUCGACUAGCUAGUAAAUCGUAACAAUCGGACGACGACUAUAAAAAGUCAAGAACAACAGUCGACCAACAACGCCGUGCGGAAGCCAAUUUAUGGACCGACAGUAUGAUUGGCAGUCGACCCGAAUCCGGCCCACUAUCGGCUAGCCCUUUUCCAUACGUGCCUCCAUAUAUUACGUUCGCCGAUCACCUUGAAAAAGGUCCCGCAAUACCAGCAGCUAUCACAAAAGUUCUCAAAUGGAAGCUCACCACAAUAACGCCGAUCGUCAUACGGAAAGUGCUUGCGAACACUGGAUUCCGGCUGUUAAGAAUGUUACAAUCGUCAAGCACCAAGUUUUAAUUUAAACAGUUUGGCUGGGAAAAUCGCAUGCAUGCAUGCAGGACUCCGCGAGUAAUGUAUCCGAUCCCAGUGCCGAAGCGAAAGUUCAAAUAUCCGACGAUGAAAUCGAUCAGCAAAAAUUGAAUGGCAUCA